UUGAACGCUGGCGGCAUGCUUUACACAUGCAAGUCGAACGGCAGCGGGGGCUUCGGCCUGCCGGCGAGUGGCGAACGGGUGAGUAAUGCAUCGGAACGUACCCAGUCGUGGGGGAUAACUACGCGAAAGCGUAGCUAAUACCGCAUACGUCCUGAGGGAGAAAGCGGGGGAUCGCAAGACCUCACGCAGUUGGAGCGGCCGAUGUCGGAUUAGCUAGUUGGUGGGGUAAAGGCCUACCAAGGCGACGAUCCGUAGCUGGUCUGAGAGGACGACCAGCCACACUGGGACUGAGACACGGCCCAGACUCCUACGGGAGGCAGCAGUGGGGAAUUUUGGACAAUGGGCGAAAGCCUGAUCCAGCCAUUCCGCGUGAGUGAAGAAGGCCUUCGGGUUGUAAAGCUCUUUCGGCAGGAACGAAAAGGUCAGGGUAAAUAAUCCUGAUUGAUGACGGUACCUGAAGAAGAAGCACCGGCUAACUACGU
rnacentral:rRNA from 1 species